rnacentral:rRNA from 1 species
AUGUAACGGGGCUAAACCAUGCACCGAAGCUGCGGCAGCGACACUAUGUGUUGUUGGGUAGGGGAGCGUUCUGUAAGCCUGUGAAGGUGGCCUGUGAGGGUUGCUGGAGGUAUCAGAAGUGCGAAUGCUGACAUAAGUAACGAUAAAGCGGGUGAAAAGCCCGCUCGCCGGAAGACCAAGGGUUCCUGUCCAACGUUAAUCGGGGCAGGGUGAGUCGACCCCUAAGGCGAGGCCGAAAGGCGUAGUCGAUGGGAAACAGGUUAAUAUUCCUGUACUUGGUGUUACUGCGAAGGGGGGACGGAGAAGGCUAUGUUGGCCGGGCGACGGUUGUCCCGGUUUAAGCGUGUAGGCUGGUUUUCCAGGCAAAUCCGGAAAACCAAGGCUGAGGCGUGAUGA